GCAAGGGGCGCAGCCGACCACGGUUCGGGUCAGCGACUGGGGUGAAGUCGUAACAAGGUAGCCGUAGGGGAACCUGCGGCUGGAUCACCUCCUUU
rnacentral:rRNA from 1 species